rnacentral:sRNA from 1 species
GCCAGGUGCAGUGGCGCAUGCCAGUAAUCCCAUAUACUCUGGAGGCUGAAGCAGGAGAAUUGCAAGUGCUAGGGCUGGUUUUAGCAAUUUAGCAAGAUCUUUUCUCAA